rnacentral:rRNA from 1 species
UACGUAGGUGACAAGCGUUGUCCGGAUUUACUGGGCGUAAAGAGCGCGCAGGCGGUCGAUCAAGUCGAGUGUGAAAGCCCCCGGCCCAACUGGGGAGGGUCAUUCGAUACUGAUCGACUCGAAGGCAGGAGAGGGUAGUGGAAUUCCCGGUGUAGUGGUGAAAUGCGUAGAUAUCGGGAGGAACACCAGUGGCGAAGGCGACUACCUGGCCUGUUCUUGACGCUGAGGCGCGAAAGCUAGGGGAGCAAACGGG